rnacentral:lncRNA from 1 species
GGCCCAAUAUAUCGAUAAGUGGUUGUGUUAUAUAAAUUACCUGUGUAAAACAUGUACAUAGGCAAUUGGCUCAAGUUUGUCAUCAGUGUAAGUCCAUUUACAUAAGUUAUUGGAUAAAUAUUACCACCAGUUUAAAUGGAUUUACACAAGAUGCUGAUAGAACUCUCCAUUUUCACUAGCCUUCUACAUUAUCAGUUCCAAAAAAUACCUAUGAAAUUUUAAAAAGUGUCACUAAUAGAGACUCUCUUUCUAUACUAGUGUGUCCUCAUAUGUCCCCUAAUCUCUCACUUUCACUCUCAUGAUUUAUUUGUUCGUCGAGCAUACACAUCCUUAGGACUUGUUGCUCUUGUGUAUAAGGUCAUCCUUAAAGGCUUAGGGCCUUACAAGAAAUACCCUUAUACCCGGGCCUGCUCUAUUUCUUACACUUCAGAUGCCCUAACAGUGCAUUUAGUGACUUUUUUUUGGAUUGGAUAAUGAUGAAAAUCAAGUGUUACAAACUUAUGACUCAAUAAGAUUAAGCACAGCUUCAUUGCCCUUUUCCUUUGGAGAUUAUAAUUAUUAAUUACUAUGUGUUGGAGUAUUUGGUUGGUCCGCAAUGAUCUUAUUUUUAGAGGCAUUCAACCUUCUGUCCAGCGCUGUAAAGGAAUCUUCAAGAAGGAGUUUGCUCAAGUUAUUGUUAGAGCAAAGGCUGCUUACAAACCACAUAUUAGCCAAUGGCUAGAAGGCUUGUGUAAUUUUAUUAAUUUUUUGCUACUUUCUUUGUUUCGUGAGUCCAUCUGUACAACUCUGUUCUAGUUUUAAUAAAAGACAGUAGGGGGAAACCCCUCCUAAAUUCAUCAAAAAAAUUAUAAAAUCUAUGAUGAAAAAACAUGCUUACAUAAUAUAGCAUGGUUUAACAUGCAUGAUCUAUGACAAAUAGGUUUUCAUCACACAAACACUCUACAUUUCAUUGGUAUAUGAGGGCAGUCACACUGUGAGUUUCGUGGCUCUAUUUCCAAGACUCUCUAGUGUUGGAUACUGUGUAAACGAGUUUUAUCUCCAUAAAACUCAUUUCAUCCUAUGAAACUAUUUUUAACUCUCUUUUCUUUUAAACUAUCACUGGUACAGGACAGGCCUUUAGUCCCGGUCGAAAACCACUUGUAUUCCCGGGUGGCGAGCCGGGACUAAGGGAUCGGGGCUAAAAGUCCAACCUUUAGUCCCGGCUCCCCGACCCGGGACUAAAUGGGGACCUUUUGUCCUGGUUGGUAACACCAACCGGGACUACAGGGGGCACCAGGCAGUGACGUGGUGCCACCCCUAGCCACCCCUUUUAGUCCCGGUUGGUAUUACCAACCGGGACUAAAUGUGUUUUUGUUUUUGUUUUUUUUUCUUUUUCCUUUUCAUGUCUUUAUUGAUUUUGGUUUUCAAUUGUAUAUGUUCUCCAAUUUAAUCGUAUACGCCGCAAUUAUCCGUAUACAUUGCACCUAUACGAGAGCGUCAUUAUUAUUGCACACAAAUAAAGUAUGAAACUACAUAUAUAUUAUCCGUAUAAUAUAUAUAUAUCUAUAUAUAUUAUAUAGCUAUACACAUACAUACAUACACAUUACAUUUACAAUAAUAAUAUUAUGUACAAGUAAUAAUCAAGUGUGCUGCCACCAGUUAAUGAUUACAUAAUGUUUGCCCGCCCACUCAAAGCUCAUACAAGUGUUCGUCCUUGUUUGGAAUGGGCUUGAAGCCCUGCGGGUAUAAGUGGAACUCGCCGUCUUCCGGAAUGACAUGAUCGUUGAUAAAUCCGGCGAUCGUCUCCUGGACUCUAAGGAGUAAUGUGUACUCGAACACUUUAUCUUUCAUAUUCCACUCCUUCCAUUUGCAUUAGUUAGAAAAGAUAUUAAUAUACAUAAAAUCUAUUUAGUUUCAACAAAUAAAUAAGAUAUGAAUUUACUAUAUACACAUGCAUGUUACUUAUUUUUAGAACACUUUGAGCAGGUUUAAAUAGGGUGCACCGCAUAAAUUCACAAACAUAGUAUCCACAUAGAUUCGUUCCAAACGGCUGCGUGGGCACCCAAGGGAGUAGAACAGGAGGAGGAAGUGACACAUUCAGAUCCGUACGAUAUUUUUGUUGUAGCCAAGCCCAAGCCCUGCCCAAUAAGACGCUCGUUGAUUAGGUAUAGCUAGCAUAAUAAAGUAAAGGAGCACGCAUCGAUAUUUAAAGUAUGAUAUAUACUUACCUCUGGAUCAUGUCUAUUAUGUCUUGAUAGAGUGCCAGGUCUUUUUUCAUUGAGUCCCACACAUGUAUUCUUUGUUCCGUGAUCUUAAUCUCAAUGAGUAUCCAAUGAUCUCUGCAUUUGUUUAGAGUCAACUUAUAUUUGUAUAUCUUAAUGCCAGAUUAACUAAGACAUGAUAUAACACAACACUUACCCCAUAUUGUAAGGGAAGAGUAUCUUCUCCGUAUGCCUUUGGUUAUAAAAGAACCUCCGGAGGUUCUUCUCCAUUUCCUUAGGCUUCAGAUUCAAUGGAUCUUUAGUUUUAGUGUCCUUGUACACGACAUAUGGAUCGAUGAAACCAAUUCGAUUGUCUUUUUUCAAUCUUUGUUCUCUCAUCAUGUGUCUGCACAUCGUGAGCGUAGUUAUUACGAAUACAUACAUAUGCUAUAAUGGGAUUAAUGAUUGAAAGGAAGAAUCACUUACAGACAGUAGCAGCUCAUGAGAGAUUUGUCAAGAGCAUUCAUAUGGAGAAGUUGGUGUACUUCACUAAAAUCUAUCCAUAUGACGUCAUCUCCACGGAAGUAGUGUCGGUCGCGGA